GAUGAACGCUGGCGGUGUGCCUAAUACAUGCCAGUCGAGCGAACGGACGAGAAGCUUGCUUCUCUGAUGUUAGCGGCGGACGGGUGAGUAACACGUGGAUAACCUACCUAUAAGACUGGGAUAACUUCGGGAAACCGGAGCUAAUACCGGAUAAUAUUUUGAACCGCAUGGUUCAAAAGUGAAAGACGGUCUUGCUGUCACUUAUAGAUGGAUCCGCGCUGCAUUAGCUAGUUGGUAAGGUAACGGCUUACCAAGGCAACGAUGCAUAGCCGACCUGAGAGGGUGAUCGGCCACACUGGAACUGAGACACGGUCCAGACUCCUACGGGAGGCAGCAGUAGGGAAUCUUCCGCAAUGGGCGAAAGCCUGACGGAGCAACGCCGCGUGAGUGAUGAAGGUCUUCGGAUCGUAAAACUCUGUUAUUGGGGAAGAACAUAUGUGUAAGUAACUGUGCACAUCUUGACGGUACCUAAUCAGAAAGCCACGGCUAACUACGUG
rnacentral:rRNA from 1 species